UUUCCUACGGGGGGCAGCAGUGGGGAAUAUUGCACAAUGGGGGAAACCCUGAUGCAGCGACGCCGCGUGAGUGAAGAAGUAAUUCGUUACGUAAAGCUCUAUCAGCAGGGAAGAGAAUGACGGUACCUGAGUAAGAAGCCCCGGCUAACUACGUGCCGGCAGCCGCGGUAAUACGUAGGGGGCAAGCGUUAUCCGGAUUUACUGGGUGUAAAGGGAGCGCAGACGGCAGGGCAAGUCUGAUGUGAAAGUCCGGGGCUCAACCCCGGGACUGCAUUGGAAACUGUCCGGCUAGAGUGCAGGAGGGG
rnacentral:rRNA from 1 species